rnacentral:rRNA from 1 species
UAUGAAGGGCUUCGGCCCGUAAACCCCUGUCAUUUGCGAACAAACCUUGUCUGUUAACAGUAGGCAAGUUGAUUGUAGUGAAAGAGGAAGGGACGGCUAACUCUGUGCCAGCAGCCGCGGUAAUACAGAGGUCCCGAGCGUUGUUCGGAUUCACUGGGUGUAAAGGGUGCGCAGGUGGGUUUGCAAGUUUGAUGUGAAAGCCCCGGGCUUAACCCGGGAAUGGCAUUGAAUACUGCAGAUCUGGAGGAUUGGAGGGGGGACUGGAAUUCUUGGUGUAGCAGUGAAAUGCGUAGAUAUCAAGAGGAACACCAGUGGCGAAGGCGAGUCCCUGGACAAUACCUGACACUGAGGCACGAAAGCCAAGGGAGCAAACAGGAUUAGAUACCCUGGUAGUCUUGGCUGUAAACGGUGCGCAUUUGCUGUAAACGGAAUCGACCCCGUUUGUGGCGAAGCUAACGCGAUAAAUGCGCCGCCUGGGAAGUACGGUCGCAAGAUUAAAACUCAAAGAAAUUGACGGGGGCCUGCACAAGCGGUGGAGUAUGUGGCUUAAUUCGAUGCAACGCGAAGAACCUUACCUGGCCUUGACAUGCAAGUGGUAGAACCAUGAAAGUGGGACGAUCCCGCAAGGGAAGCUUGCACAGGUGCUGCAUGGCUGUCGUCAACUCGUGUCGUGAGAUGUUGGGUUAAGUCCCGCAACGAGCGCAACCCUUGUGUCCUGUUGCCACCCAAACGAGAGUUUGGAGCACUCUGGACAGACUGCCUCGCUUAAACGAGGAGGAAGGUGGGGAUGACGUCAAGUCAGUAUGGCCCUUACGGCCAGGGCUGCACACGUACUACAAUGCAUGG